GAAGUUGACGGGGAGCACCACAACGGGUGGAGCUUGCGGUUUAAUUGGAUUCAACGCCGGAAAUCUUACCGGGACCGACAGCAAUAUGAAGGCCAGGCUGAAGACUUUGUCCGGAUUAGCUGAGAGGUGGUGCAUGGCCGUCGUCAGUUCGUACUGUGAAGCAUCCUGUUAAGUCAGGCAACGAGCGAGACCCACGCCCACAGUUGCCAGCGUACUCUCCGGAGUGACGGGUACACUGUGGGACCGCCGCUGCUAAAGCGGAGGAAGGAAUGGGCAACGGUAGGUCAGUAUGCCCCGAAUAUCCCGGGCUACACGCGAGCUACAAUGGUUGGUACAAUGGGUAUCUACCCCGAAAGGGGACGGGAAUCUCCUAAAACCAAUCUUAGUUCGGAUUGAGGGCUGCAACUCGCCCUCAUGAAGCUGGAAUCCGUAGUAAUCGCGUUUCAACAGAACGCGGUGAAUACGUCCCUGCUCCUU
rnacentral:rRNA from 1 species